UACGUAGGGGGCAAGCGUUGUUCGGAAUUACUGGGCGUAAAGGGCUCGUAGGCGGCACAGCAAGUCGGGAGUGAAAGCCCGGGGCUCAACCCCGGAACUGCUUUCGAAACUGCUGAGCUAGAGUACAGAAGGGGCAACCGGAAUUCCCAGUGUAGCGGUGAAAUGCGUAGAUAUUGGGAAGAACACCUGAGGCGAAGGCGGGUUGCUGGGCUGAUACUGACGCUGAGGCGCGAAAGCCAGGGGAGCAAACGGG
rnacentral:rRNA from 1 species